UACGAAGGGGGCUAGCGUCGUUCGGAAUUACUGGGCGUAAAGCGCACGUAGGCGGGUCGUUAAGUCAGGGGUGAAAUCCCGGAGCUCAACUCCGGAACUGCCUUUGAUACUGGCGAUCUUGAGAUCGGAAGAGGUGAGUGGAAUUCCCAGUGUAGAGGUGAAAUUCGUAGAUAUUGGGAAGAACACCAGUGGCGAAGGCGGCUCACUGGUCCGAUACUGACGCUGAGGUGCGAAAGCGUGGGGAGCAAACAGG
rnacentral:rRNA from 1 species